AGGCACAUUGUGUUUCAAUGGCAUCUCAGAUGGUUGGAAAUGUGUAUUUGCAGUUGGACCGACCUUUUACUGGAUUCCUCCAAUCACGCAAUACCAUCAGCGCUAGGAGGGUAAAGGAUGGUGAUAUGGCUGCAACUGAACGGGUGAUCAGGAGACUGUUCUUGGGAUCUAUGUGACUAGAGUUGAGGGAGCUGAAGCCAUGGACCCACCUGCCAAUACUGGAGUGGUAUUAGACGGUGGUGUGGUUCUAGAAGACCUGGGCAGUGUGUUCCUUGCCUUUGCAGUUCGGGCUGAUUUAUGCCUUAUAUAUUUAUAACCUUAUGAUUUAGAACUUGAGUUACCCUCCUACAUUCAGAUACACUUUUGAUGCACUCCAAAAACUGUUUCUGGAACUAGAUGCUAACAAACUGUCUCAUAAAGCUCAAUUACUAAAUAUAAAGCUAUUCAGUGAGAUGUGGUCCAUACUGAGUAUUACACUUGUGACGUACUGUUUAUCGAAUCCCACUGUGGUUGCACUUUCUGAAAACUUUAAUGUUGGCACUGACUUUUGUACAUAAUUCAGAUUUGUUUAGAAGUGUUUCAUGCUCAUGUUUU